GAUGAACGCUGGCGGCGUGCUUAACACAUGCAAGUCGAACGGAAAGGCCCUGCUUUCGUGGGGUGCCCGAGUGGCGAACGGGUGAGUAACACGUGAGCAACCUGCCCUUGACUUUGGGAUAACUUCAGGAAACUGGGGCUAAUACCGGAUAGCAGCUCCUGCAGCAUGGUGGGGGUUGGAUAGUCUCGGCGGUUGGGGAUGGACUAGCGGCUUAUCAGCUUGCUGGUGGGGUAGUGGCAUACCAAGGCAUUGACGGGUAGUCGGCAUGUGAGGGUGGCCGGCGACAAGAGUACUAAGGUACGGCCCAGUGUGGAACGGUGGGCAGUGGUGGGAAGUAUUGCACAGUGAGCGCGAGCCUGUGACGGAGGCGCCGCGUUCGGAAUGACGGCCUGCGGGUUGUGAACCGCUGUCGCCUAUGACGAAGCGGUAGUGACGGUAAUGGAUGAAGAAGCACCGGCUAACUACGUG
rnacentral:rRNA from 1 species